rnacentral:ncRNA from 1 species
AGUAAGCCUAAUCAGUAUUACUAAAGAAGUUAGGUCAAGGUGUAGCCCAUGGAGUGGAGCGAAAUGGGCUACAUUUUCUAUUACUAGAACAUUACGAAACUCUACGUGAAAUCCGUAGAAUAAAGGAGGAUUUAGUAGUAAAUUAAAACUAGAGUGUUUAAUUGAAUAGAGCAAUGAAGCACGCACACACCGCCCGUCACCCUCCUCAAUUUCUCAACAAUUAAAAGUACAUAACACCUAAUUACAAAAGAUUGAGAGGAGACAAGUCGUAACAAGGUAAGUGUACUGGAAAGUGCACUUGGAAAAAUCAAAAU